rnacentral:tRNA from 1 species
UGGGGGGUAGCUUAGUGGUAGAGUGCUUGCCUCGCAUAUGGGAGGCACUGGGUUCGAUUCUCAGCACCACAU